CCCACUCUCGCUCCCCGCUUCUACAGUGGGUAGGCAGACCCUCCUCUCUCCCUCCUCCCCCUCCGCUCCUCAUCUCCACUUGAGAAGAAGAAGAACACAGCAGGCAGAAAAAGGAAAAAAGAAAUAUAGUUUAGUUUAUCCUUUUCGUUUAUCUCUUUGAUUGACGGAUCAAGAACCGGGGAGGGAGAUUGGAGGGGGAGGAGGAGGAGCAAUCGGAGGGAGAAGUAUAAAUUCGCAGGAAGAGACGAGGGAUUCGGCGUGGAUAGAUAGAUAGAUAAAUCAGUUCUCGCAUCGGUUUAUUGAUUGCUCAUUAACCCAGCAUUCCCGCCGCUGCCAUUCUUGGGAGGAGUCAGCAUGGUUCCGUCCGGGUACGACUGCGCCGCCUCCGUCCUGCUCUGCGCCGAGGACAACGCCGCCAUCCUCGGCCUCGACGACGACGAGGAAGACUGCUCCUGGGCGGCGGCGGCCGCCACCCCGCCGCGCAUCGCCGCCGAUGCCGCCGCGGCGGCGGAGGGGUUCCUGGUGGACCACCCCGUGCAGUCCGAUGAGUGCGUGGCGGCGCUCGUCGAGACGGAGAAGGAGCACAUGCCCGCCGACGGGUACCCCCAGAUGCUGCUGCGCCGGCCCGGGGCCCUGGAUUUGGCCGCCGUCAGGAGGGACGCCAUAGAUUGGAUUUGGAAGGUCAUUGAGCAUUUCAAUUUCGCGCCGUUGACUGCGGUCCUGUCUGUCAACUACCUUGAUAGGUUCCUCUCCGUCUAUCCCCUUCCUGUAAGUCUUAUUACCAUCAUCAUCUCAGUAGCAACUGAAGCAAACCCUGCUAAAAUCCCUUAAUCACGGAGGAGUUAAUCGACGGUUUUCGAUUGACAGGUGGUUGAGGCAAAUUCUGCGUUCGAGGGGAAGACCAUAAAAAGGAUGGAGCUUUUGGUGCUCAGCACCUUAAAAUGGAGGAUGCAAGCUGUUACUGCUUGCUCAUUUAUUGACUACUUCCUGCGCAAAUUCAAUGAUCAUGACGCGCCCUCCAUGCUCGCAUUCUCCCGCUCGACCGACCUCAUCCUGAGCACAGCUAAAGGAGCUGAUUUUUUGGUGUUCAGACCUUCAGAGAUUGCUGCAAGUGUCGCACUUGCCGCAUUUGGGGAGCGCAAUACUUCAGUAGUCGAGCGGGCUACAACUACUUGCAAGUUCAUAAACAAGGAGCGAGUGUUAAGAUGCUACGAAUUGAUUCAAGACAAGAUAGCAAUGGGAACCAUUGUCCUAAAGUCAGCUGGAUCAUCAAUGUUCUCUGUGCCGCAAAGCCCGAUAGGCGUGUUGGAUGCUGCUGCAUGUCUCAGCCAACAGAGUGAUGAUACUGCUGUUGGAUCUCCAGCAACAUGCUACCAAGCCUCUUCGGCAAGCAAAAGGAGGAGAAUUGGCAGAUGACCGGUCUCAUGUCGUGCUGUGCUUCAGGUGUGUUGCUCACCGUUUUGGCUGUUUUGUUGUUUCAAACAUCUCAAUUCAGUUUGGUCACUCGAGAACUAUAGUGUGGUCAAGUAGUUGCUGGAAGGAACAAAAACACCAUAGUCAAUACUUGACCCAUAAAAACAAACAGUUCGCCGCGAGCCUGUUCAUGCAAUCGACAUAUGUAAGGGGCAUGCUAAGCUGUUAGUGUCCUGAGAUGCAUGCUAGUGUAGGCAGAGAUGGAGCAAGGAAGUUGCAUGUUGUAGAGAUGAGAGCUCUAUUGCCCUAUUUUGUAUUUCGGUUCCAUAUUCAGUUUCUAAUGAACUUUGGGCAAGGGCUGCUCUGAUCAUUGAGGCGGUGAAUGAAAAUGAUCCUAAAACGGAUCGGCUGAGAUACAGAACAGUUUAUAUUUGUUCUGAUGAGUUAUAAAUUUUGUCGACAUUA